GUGGGGAAUAUUGGACAAUGGGCGCAAGCCUGAUCCAGCCAUGCCGCGUGAGUGAUGAAGGCCUUAGGGUUGUAAAGCUCUUUCAGUGGGGACGAUAAUGACGGUACCCACAGAAGAAGCCCCGGCUAACUUCGUGCCAGCAGCCGCGGUAAUACGAAGGGGGCUAGCGUUGUUCGGAUUUACUGGGCGUAAAGCGCACGUAGGCGGAUCGUUAAGUCGGGGGUGAAAUCCUGGAGCUCAACUCCAGAACUGCCUUCGAUACUGGCGAUCUUGAGUCCGGAAGAGGUGAGUGGAACUCCUAGUGUAGAGGUGGAAUUCGUAGAUAUUCGGAGGAACACCAGUGGCGAAGGCGGCUCACUGGUCCAUUACUGACGCUGAGGUGCGAAAGCGUGGGGAGCAAACAGGAUUAGAUACCCCAGUAGUCC
rnacentral:rRNA from 1 species